rnacentral:rRNA from 1 species
AGUGAACGCUGGCGGUAGGCCUAACACAUGCAGGUCGAACGGCAGCACAGUAAGAGCUUGCUCUUACGGGUGGCGAGUGGCGGACGGGUGAGGAAUACAUCGGAAUCUACUUUUUCGUGGGGGAUAACGUAGGGACACUUACGCUAAUACCGCAUACGACCUACGGGUGAAAGCAGGGGAUCUUCGGACCUUGCGUGAUUGAAUGAGCCGAUGUCGGAUUAGCUAGUUGGCGGGGUAAAGGCCCACCAAGGCGACGAUCCGUAGCUGGUCUGAGAGGAUGAUCAGCCACACUGGAACUGAGACACGGUCCAGACUCCUACGGGAGGCAGCAGUGGGGAAUAUUGGACAAUGGGCGCAAGCCUGAUCCAGCCAUGCCGCGUGAGUGAAGAAGGCCUUCGGGUUGUAAAGCCCUUUUAUUGGGAAAGAAAAGCAGCAGGUUAAUACCCCGCUGUUCUGACGGUACCCAAAGAAUAAGCACCGGCUAACUUCGUG